rnacentral:rRNA from 1 species
CCUACGGGAGGCAGCAGUCGGGAAUAUUGCACAAUGGAGGAAACUCUGAUGCAGUGACACCGCGUAUAGGAAGAAGGUCUUAGGAUUGUAAGCUAUUGUCGUGUGAGAAGAAAAUGACCAUCACAGGAGGAAGCCCUGGCUAAAUAUGUGCCAGCAGCCGCGGUAAUACAUAUGGGGCGAGCGUUAUCCGGAUUUAUUGGGUGUAAAGGGUGCGUAGGCGGGAAAAUAAGUCAGUAUGUGAAAUCCCUCGGCUCAACUGAGGAACUGCAACUGAAACUAUUUUUCUUGAGUGUUGAAGGGGAAAGUGGAAUUCCUAGUGUAGCGGUGAAAUGCGUAGAGAUUAGGAGGAACACCAGUGGCGAAGGCGACUUUCUGGGCAACAACUGACGCUGAGGCACGAAAGUGUGGGGAGCAAACAGGAUUAGAUACCCGGGUAGUC